GGGAAUAUUGGACAAUGGGCGCAAGCCUGAUCCAGCAAUGCCGCGUGUGUGAAGAAGGUCUUCGGAUUGUAAAGCACUUUCGGCGGGGACGAUGAUGACGGUACCCGCAGAAGAAGCCCCGGCUAACUUCGUGCCAGCAGCCGCGGUAAUACGAAGGGGGCUAGCGUUGCUCGGAAUGACUGGGCGUAAAGGGCGCGUAGGCGGUUUGUACAGUCAGAUGUGAAAUUCCUGGGCUCAACCUGGGGACUGCAUUUGAUACGUGCAGGCUUGAGUGUGGAAGAGGGUUGUGGAAUUCCCAGUGUAGAGGUGAAAUUCGUAGAUAUUGGGAAGAACACCGGUGGCGAAGGCGGCAACCUGGUCCAUUACUGACGCUGAGGCGCGAAAGCGUGGGGAGCAAACA
rnacentral:rRNA from 1 species